UGGGGAAUAUUGCACAAUGGGCGAAAGCCUGAUGCAGCGACGCCGCGUGAGGGAUGACGGCCUUCGGGUUGUAAACCUCUUUCGCACGGGACGAAGCGAGAGUGACGGUACCGUGAGAAGAAGCACCGGCUAACUACGUGCCAGCAGCCGCGGUAAUACGUAGGGUGCGAGCGUUGUCCGGAAUUAUUGGGCGUAAAGAGCUCGUAGGCGGUUUGUCGCGUCUAUCGUGAAAACUGGAGGCUUAACCUUCAGCGUGCGGUGGAUACGGGCAGACUUGAGUUCGGUAGGGGAGACUGGAAUUCCUGGUGUAGCGGUGAAAUGCGCAGAUAUCAGGAGGAACACCGGUGGCGAAGGCGGGUCUCUGGGCCGAUACUGACGCUGAGGAGCGAAAGCGUGGGGAGCGAACAGG
rnacentral:rRNA from 1 species